GACCCCUAGCAAUGGGCAGAGAGACACCUUGUUGGUGCUGAUGUUUGUAUAUCAGUUAGGGGCAGAGCAGGUGGCAAUCCUUUGUGAAUCCUAGAUUGAUGCCUGGCUUGGUAGCCCAAACUGUUUUAUGCCUAGGACACAUGA
rfam:Mus musculus chromosome 6, GRC primary reference assembly.